rnacentral:rRNA from 1 species
GACGAACGCUGGCGGCGUGCUUAACACAUGCAAGUCGAACGGAAAGGCCCUGCUUUUGUGGGGUGCUCGAGUGGCGAACGGGUGAGUAACACGUGAGUAACCUGCCCUUGACUUUGGUAUAACUUCAGGAAACUGGGGCUAAUACCGGAUAGGAGCUCCUGCUGCAUGGUGGGGGUUGGAAAGUUUCGGCGGUUGGGGAUGGACUCGCGGCUUAUCAGCUUGUUGGUGGGGUAGUGGCUUACCAAGGCUUUGACGGGUAGCCGGCCUGAGAGGGUGACCGGCCACAUUGGGACUGAGAUACGGCCCAGACUCCUACGGGAGGAAGAAGGGGGGAAUAUUGCAAAAUGGGCGGAAGCCUGAUGCAGCAACGCCGCGUGCGGGAUGACGGCCUUCGGGUUGUAAACCGCUUUCGCAUGUGACGAAGCGUGAGUGACGGUAAUGGGUAAAGAAGCACCGGCUAACUACGUG